AUCAGUCAUAUGUUGUCUGUCAUACACAUAGGACGUAGAGGCAAUCUUUCAAUUUGAUGAAGACAUAUUAAUUAUCACCAAGUGAAUAAUAAAAAAAUACAAUUUGGUCAGAUUACUAAACAAAAGAGUAAACAAUGUUUCAUAUUAGACAAUUAUUAUGGAUGAUUAUCUUCGCAAUUUUAGUUUUACAAUUAGCUGUCAUAUCAAAAGACGAAUCAGCAUUAAUAAAUAAAAACAAUAUAAUAAAUAAUAACACUGACAAUAAA